CACACGACUCUUCCUCAUUCUAUUCCCAUAUCAAUAUUAAAUUUAAUGAUGUGUGAUUUCUUUUUUUUCCCUUCUAUUAUGUUGUAAAUGUAUUUGUAUGUCUUUGAAUAUUGUUGCUUGUAUUAGAUGUAGAAGUAUUCUAUUUUCCCAAUUCCAAUAGGUUCUCAUUCAUUUUUUAUUUUCUUUGUUAUGUUUGCUUUUUCCUAAAAUAUAUGAUAAUAUGUCUAUUUUGGUUGUUGUUAUCAGCUUUUAUCUAUUGCUGAUUUUGCAUUUUUUUCAAUGGAAGGAAAAAAUUAUAUGAGUUGAUGCAUUGAACUUUUAUGCUUUAUAAGCGUACUGCGACAUCAACAAUGGCUUUUAGCAUUUCAAUAAUUUGUAGAACAUGCCAUAGCCAAAUUUCAAGUUAUAAUAUGUUUGAAACUACAAAUGUUGUGGUAAGCAAUUGUCAGUUAGGAAGUUUUGUUAAGUUGAACAUAUGCUUUCAUCCUUUUAGUUUAACAAUGCUAUUAUGUAAUUAGUACUUAGAGAAAGUAAUAGUACUUGGGAAAAUUGAGUUCAGUCCUAUAUUCUUUCAAAGAUAAUUUAAAUCUUGGAUGCACUUCCUCUUUUCAAUAUGUCGAUGCCUUGGUAUAAACCGUGAAGAAAGUGUAUUCUUUACCCGACCAGAAGCAUGAUCCUCCUGAAGAGGAACCAUUGAGGAUAUUCUAUGAAUCUCUGUCGAAACAAAUUCCCUCAAGUGAAAUGACACAAUUUUGAGGAAGCUGAAGAGGAAGAAUGAUUAAUAGUGAUUGCUUGG